rnacentral:tRNA from 1 species
GGAGAGAUGCCCGAGAAGGCUGAAGGGGCUCGCCUGCUAAGCGAGUGUAGGGCCCAAAAGCCCUACCCCGGGUUCGAAUCCCGGUCUCUCCGCCA